GCGGCGGUGUCCAGUGUCUGAGUCUUUGGUUGCCUAGCAACAACCUGCUCAGUAACUUGCGCAGUAGCAGUUUCAGGUUUCCUCAAAACUGCUUAAAAACGUGGAGAGAAAACUGGUUAAUAAGGAAAAGAUCACGCCACCAGUUUGGCAGGAUUUCUGAUAUUUAAAACAACAAACUAAUCAAUAAUUACCGAUAUCAACUGAUAUGAAACGCUUAUAUCAAGUUCAUCCAGAUGUGGAGCGUCUCUGUAAACCUGUGGAUUAUUUACUGAACUCUGACCCGAUAACGAGGUUCUGGAUGAAACCAGAGACGGCUCGGCUCACAUGAAAAACGUUUUCCAUCCGGCUCUUCGUCCUCCUCCUCUUCCUCCUCAGCUGCAGGUGAGCAGCAGCUGCUCAAACACUCUGCUGUCUUUGUUCUGCUGUUUGUGUCACUGCAGCCUCAUGUUGCUGCUGCAGUGAGUUCCCGGUGCGGCCAGCAGGGGGCGCACGGCGGCAGCGGCAUCAGGGCGUGACCGGGAGGAAGAGGAGCAGCAGUGAAGGACACGCUGCUGCAUCCAGAGGAGGCACGACGGGGAAAGCUUCUGCUUCUGCUGGUUCUGAUCAACACUUCUCCAGAUUUUAUCUGGACUUCUUCACUCCAGAACCAGAACAUUGUUUAAUUAGCAGAAUUAUAUUUAUAAAUUUAUCAAAUUAGACGUAGAAAAACUCAAUCAGAAAUAAUCUGCUGAAAGAAGUGAAGCUGAAUUUAUUUCUAUCUUUUGUCUCUUCCACCUAUCAGAGGAGGCGCCGGUCCAGGAGGGAAACUGUCACUAUAGCAACGCCCUCCAGCUCCUCCUGGAGGCCUGUUGAGCUCCUUUAGUCUCCCCAAAGUUAAAUGUUCCCAAACAGUUAAAUGUGUCACUUCUGCAAGCGAGAGAACAGAUCAGCACCCUUCUUUCAGCCAGCUGACUGGCAGUGUGCAGCACCAGGUGUGGGAGGGGCAGCUUUCAAUCAACUGGAGAAAGUUCUGGUAACUAGAACACUGAACCAUAAGAAGGGCGUGAUGGGUCGUUGGCACAUUCUGCUAAUCGUGAUGCUAGUUUUUCUUUAGCUUUAGCUAACUAGCUAAAAUUUCCAGAUAAAUUCCUGUUUGUAAACAUUCAGUUGAAUAAAGUUUAACGUCUGGGUCGAA